AGAGUUUGAUUAUGGCUCAGAUUGAACGCUGGCGGCAGGCCUAACACAUGCAAGUCGAGCGGUAGAGAGAAGCUUGCUUCUCUUGAGAGCGGCGGACGGGUGAGUAAUGCCUAGGAAUCUGCCUGGUAGUGGGGGAUAACGUUCGGAAACGGACGCUAAUACCGCAUACGUCCUACGGGAGAAAGCAGGGGACCUUCGGGCCUUGCGCUAUCAGAUGAGCCUAGGUCGGAUUAGCUAGUUGGUGAGGUAAUGGCUCACCAAGGCGACGAUCCGUAACUGGUCUGAGAGGAUGAUCAGUCACACUGGAACUGAGACACGGUCCAGACUCCUACGGGAGGCAGCAGUGGGGAAUAUUGGACAAUGGGCGAAAGCCUGAUCCAGCCAUGCCGCGUGUGUGAAGAAGGUCUUCGGAUUGUAAAGCACUUUAAGUUGGGAGGAAGGGCAGUUACCUAAUACGUGAUUGUUUUGACGUUACCGACAGAAUAAGCACCGGCUAACUCUGUGCCAGCAGCCGCGGUAAUACAGAGGGUGCAAGCGUUAAUCGGAAUUACUGGGCGUAAAGCGCGCGUAGGUGGUUAGUUAAGUUGGAUGUGAAAUCCCCGGGCUCAACCUGGGAACUGCAUUCAAAACUGACUGACUAGAGUAUGGUAGAGGGUGGUGGAAUUUCCUGUGUAGCGGUGAAAUGCGUAGAUAUAGGAAGGAACACCAGUGGCGAAGGCGACCACCUGGACUGAUACUGACACUGAGGUGCGAAAGCGUGGGGAGCAAACAGGAUUAGAUACCCUGGUAGUCCACGCCGUAAACGAUGUCAACUAGCCCUUGGGAGCCUUGAGCUCUUAGUGGCGCAGCUAACGCAUUAAGUUGACCGCCUGGGGAGUACGGCCGCAAGGUUAAAACUCAAAUGAAUUGACGG
rnacentral:rRNA from 1 species